rnacentral:rRNA from 1 species
GACGAACGCUGGCGGCGUGGAUUAGGCAUGCAAGUCGGACGGUAGGGCUUUAUCGUAAGAUAGAGUUUGAGAGUGGCGAACGGGUGAGUAACACGUAGGAAUCUACCCUUAAGACGGGGACAACCCAGGGAAACUUGGGCUAAUACCGGAUGAGAGUGCGAGAGAUUGCAUUUAAAAGGAUGGCGAAAGUUGUCGCUUAGGGAUGAGCCUGCGGUCUAUUAGUUAGUUGGUGAGGUAAGAGCUCACCAAGGCGAUGAUAGAUAGGCGGCCUUAACGGGUGGUCGCCCACACUGGGAUUGAGACACGGUCCAGACUCCUACGGGAGGCAGCAGUAGGGAAUAUUGGACAAUGGGCGCAAGCCUGAUCCAGCCAUGCCGCGUGAGUGAAGAAGGCCCUCGGGUUGUAAAGCUCUUUUGUCCGGAAAGAAAAGCGCCGGGUUAAUACCCUGGUGUCCUGACGGUACCGGAAGAAUAAGCACCGGCUAACUUCGUG